GUAGGUGGCAAGCGUUGUCCGGAAUUAUUGGGCGUAAAGCGCGCGCAGGCGGUCCUUUAAGUCUGAUGUGAAAGCCCACGGCUCAACCGUGGAGGGUCAUUGGAAGCUGGGGGACUUGAGUACAGAAGAGGAAAGCGGAAUUCCAAGUGUAGCGGUGAAAUGCGUAGAGAUUUGGAGGAACACCAGUGGCGAAGGCGGCUUUCUGGUCUGUAACUGACGCUGAGGCGCGAAAGCGUGGGGAGCAAACAGGAUUAGAUACCCUGGUAGUCCACGCCGUAAACGAUGAGUGCUAAGUGUUAGGGGGUUUCCCGCCCCCCUUAGUGCUGCAGCUAACGCAUUAAGCACUCCGCCUGGGGAGUACGGCCCGCAAGGCUG
rnacentral:rRNA from 1 species